CCCGGCCGCAGCCCCGGCUCCUCUGCCCGUGUCCCCCAGCGCGCAGUAAUACACGGCCGCGUCCCCGCGCCGGGGCCGCCGGAGCCACAGCGCGCUGCUCCGGCGAUCUGCCGACACCCACAGACGACCCGCAAUGUCCGGCAGCUCUUUGGACUCCUUCACAGUGACCGCGAGGCGUUCGGGUCCUCGGCCCGGGAGAUGACGGUACCACUGGAUCAAUUCUGUCCUUUGUAUCUUGGGAUGUGAGCAGCUGAUGUUGAUGCCGGUGUUCUCGGUGGUCUCCAGCCGUGGCUCCUGCUGGACCUGGGCUCUGCCACCAGCCACUGCCAAGAAAGGAUGCCCAUGACCUUGUGAUAAAGGGAUGAGGUUGGCCCUCAGCUACUCCCAAGCUGCAGCUCAAAAGCACAUCCACGAGGAAAAGAGUCAGCCCUGGCUGAGCUUGCCAGCAGAACUGCCUGGCACUGAUGCCGCUGAGGUCACAGAAGGACAGCAAGAAGCCCUCAGCUGCACCAGCUGCACACUGGAUCUGAGCACCACCUGCACGUUGGAUCGAUGCCCAGCCAGUCCCGGGGCAGUGAUUGGCACCUCCUGCACCACUCCCCCCCAGCUGAUACACUGAGCAUGGCAUCAUACGGACAUGAGGCACUGGAAAGCCCUUGACUGAGGGUAAGCACUACUGAGCCAGAACUAAACCAUCAGUGUGUUACAACAUCAUUCUCAGACUAAAUCCACAACACACCUCUGUGCCACCUUCUAAGAAGAUGCAGCAGGAUGUUCUGCCUUGGGAGGGGUAAAGCAGCUCAACCUUUGCCCUAUUUGCAAAAGUGAUCAGUGAUGGGUGGGGAAGGGGGGGAGUCACACUAGUUUUGGUGUUGCACAGUGCUGAGAGCAGUCUGACUCAUCAAUCCCAAAAUUAAACAUUCUGAAGGAGAAUAGUGUUUCCUGACACAAACUAACAUUGGUGACGAUGUGGCAGGCAGAGUUCCUGACAAAGGAACCAACAAGCAAUAGUACUGAAAACUUCCCUAAAGCCGCUGAGCUAAGGGCUGCUGAGGUGGCGCAGCUCGACGAGCAACAUCUGCCUGACUUUAUGCUAUAAAAACCCAGUGCCACUUUGAAAGGGCAGGGAGGUCUAACACACCUUUCUAGGAGUACGUUGGAAAUACACUCCUUGAGGGGGGAGAUCCCCUCCAAGUCACUUCUCAAGGCAGGGAAAAUGAGAUUUUCCCAUGGUCAUUUGUAUUGUGAGUUACAUCAAUAUCUACUUAAUAGUUGUUAAGCUAACUUUGAAGUUAUUGAUUUGAUGAAUAGGGCACUAUUCUGGUAGUUAUAACUCUCUAUACAUUGUAGUAAAUAAUUCGGAUUAAAACCUUUUAUCCUAAUCAUUAUCAUCAUCGAUCAAACUAGUAAUUCCUUUUAUUCAUAUAAAUAUAUUUAGGUUACCAUCCUUAGACGAGUCCCUUCAAGGCAAACAUGUCUGGGAACAGCACCUCGUGCAAACACCUAUACCCAGAGUCAGACACACUGCUUCUCUUUGGCUGCAGGACUCCCAGCAAAACCCUCUUUGGUAUAACCUCCUCACUCAAGAUUAGGGUAUGAUGACUGACACUUGUGUGGGGAUGAAAGUCCUCAAAAGGGUGAGGUGAUAUCUUAUAAACCCAGGAAUUUUCCUGCCUUAUCGAAUGCAGUGAAAAGGUGUUAGGGUGUCGUGAAAGACGAGGGAUGUUUUGACAGGGGGCAAAGAUAGGGAAAGAGAAUGAUGGAAGUUUUGCGACUGCAGGGGGGCGAGGGUGCCGGUGUCGGUGCCGGUUUCUCUGUCGGUGUCUCUGUCGGUGUCUCUGUCGGUGUCAAUGCCGGUGUCGGUGU